rfam:Pteropus alecto contig49749, whole genome shotgun sequence.
GUCUAUGGCCAUGCCACCCUGAAUAAGCCCGAUCCGGUCUGAUCUCGGAAGCUAAGCAGGGUCGGGCCUGAUUAGUACUUGGAUGGGAGGCCACCUAGGAAAACCAGGUGCCGUAGGCA